rnacentral:lncRNA from 1 species
UUGGAAGAGACCCUUGUGCUGCUUGACGACGGUGUAGUAGCUGCUGUCAAAGUUUCGAGCGCUACUGGGAUCCAUUUCCACGAAUGUUGUAGUGUCGUUGAGGCUUCGGCAUUUGGUCUUCAGGAAUUCAGCGUAGGUUGCAUCCAAAGAAGGGUCUUGAUCACCCUUUCCGGUGAAGUUGUAGAGCCUGUUGCUGAAGCUUGGGCAGCCGCCUACUCCAAUUGUGUGUCCACCUACGUAAUUGUAUGUAAGAUUGGUCAGUUAUGUAUCCCUUUAAUAAGGAAUUUGCAGUCGUGAUCUAUGCAGGACGCCGUGUUUUUAACCUCGCUUCUAUUUUUCUUCAACUUUGAUCUCAUUUAUUAACAUGGUUUGUUGUUUUUGGGUGUAAAAUCACCUUAUCGAGCUUGGUAUUUAGGUUUCUACUUUCUAGUCUCGGAUUGGUUACUUGGAUGAUAGGUUUAAAGCCCAAAAUCUGAUCAAAACUAAACGCCUAAAAUCGAAACUCUAAACGAACAAUAUAUGUAAAUGGAAUCAAAGUGGAAGAAUAUUUAGUAGAAAUAAUACUUUCUCAACGUGUAAGACGUGAGCGUGAUGUCAUGCACGGAGAAUACCUCAUUAAUUUGCUAGUAAAUGUACCUGAUAAAACCACAAGGUCAUGCACGGUAAGAUUCUUGCGGGCAAAACUCUGUUUGAGUUGGGUGAAAUUGAAGAAAGGUGCCGGAAUGUUAAUCAAGGCCUCCCUAACUAGAGAAAUUGUGCCGUCUCUUCUCCCCGUGAGCACUUCCCACAUCGAUUUAUUGUACUGCAAAAGUUACAUACCAUGCAUACAUGAGCGCAAUCUUAAUACAACAACAAAGUCUUAUCCCACUAAGUGAGGCCGGCUGGAGCGCAAUCUUAUUAUUGAAAAUAUUUUAUGACGUAAAACAUAUUAGUCCCAUAUCUAAUUAGUAAAUUACUUGGAACGAAACGGAGUCCCUAGCAGCCAAAGCUAAGAUGUCAGCACAAGAGACUACUCCUGGACACUUCUCCUCUAGUUUUUCUUUGAUAUCGUCGAUGACAUCGAAUCCCGACAAGGAUAAGUUUGGAACUGCUGCCUUCUCUGCCGUGUUGUUUGCUGUUGAAUUCAACAAAAUUGAGCCAUCACAACCCUGCAGGAGAUUCCAUGUGUAUUUGGUCAAGCAAGUUAGACGACUCGCAGCAUAAAAUUGUUACUCAUUUCAAAUUAUAAGUUCCAGUUCAUAAACAUUUUUGGUGGUGGCUGCAAGUAUCUAAGCAAGCACACAUGCAUGCAUAUAUGUGAGGUCAUGAACAUGUACAGUACAUUUAUUUUCUUAAAAACGAUAUUACUGCUCUAAGUACGUUUCUAAGGAUAGCUCAUCACAUGCAAGCAUGCAUAUAUGAAUAGCUUACCCUGACGAAACAGUCGUGGAAAUUCAUUCUCAAUAGCUUUGCAGGCAAUCUGGGAUUACUGGAGACAUGGUUCCAGGUGACAUCUCUGACGAUAUCCUCAGCCGAAGGACAGGUCUUUUCAUAGAAACGCUUCCUCAGCUGGCCUCCUUCGCAGGCCACGAGAAUGCCGGAAACUACACAGAUGAGUAAGAGAAUAUUAACCUUCAUCUCGUAAACUUCUAAGGUUUCCAAUCGAUAAUGCUUUGUACAAAACCAUACUGUUCCUUUUAUAGGCGACUUUGUGUCUAACUCCAAGUGACAUACAUUUAACUAAAUAUUUGAUGUCAUUUAAAAGAAACAACUACACUUAUUCUAAAAAAUAUGCGGUUGACUCAAUACUUAGCAUAUUUUUAUUCGUUCUGAAUCUGCAUUAUUAGUUAUGUGUUUAAUCAAGUGAAUUAGCUGCAUUUUGGCUGAGUAACGAAAUGCUAAUACGUUAUUGAUCACAAUAGUUUGAAGUAUCUAUUUGAUCAGUCGCGUGCUCGAGAUGCUAGUUUGAUCUGGCCGGUAACCAUGUGCAAGAAGCCAACAGGAAGAAUAGUACUCAAAUGUGGUAUCCCUUGUAUUUUUGGUGGCGAAAGCUAUUGUUUUUAUUUUUGAAUUAUCUGCAUAAUAUUUCAUAAGACGAACAUGCACGAUGUAGCCGAAACAUGAUUAAUUUAAAGGAUUAGAAGGUUAACUCUGUUAGCAAUGGAAAAAGGAUAGUUGACUUAUACAUUGUGGACAAUAAACAUGAAUUAUGAAUAGUUGUAAAGGUUGACAAUUGUCCAAAACAUGAUUAAGAAAUAUUAGUCCCGAUUAACAAAUAUUUAUCUCAUCCAUAAUUUGGAAUCAAAAUCUGGGAGAUAGCUAAUACCAUGAUUAGAAGAAGCAUAAUUUUUUUUUAAUUAGUCUACUGUUCAGACCCGAGGUUUAUAGAUUUCUUUGACCUGUGCGCUCAUACUACUAUUCUAUUAGCUACAGACGGUGGUGGUCAAUGGCAUUGCCUGUCAUGAACCAUGGUCCAUGGCACAACUUAGUCAAGAGAAUAAUCUACGUGGAACGGAGCUUAUACUUUUGUUUUCGUGAACUCUCCUUACGCGAAGAAGGCGAUAAAGAGAAAGAGGUAUACACUUUGAGAUAGUUAAACUUGGUCAUGACUUGAUUACGGUUGGAGCUCCCGUAUCAUGGCUGCCAUGCUAGUUUGUUAGAGGGGGCAUUGGAGAGUAGUAGUUAAAGUUCAAAUAGGAGCUAAUAAAAUCAUCUUUUGGUUAAGUUGCGAGUGUUCAAAGUGUAAACCAAGCUAUAACCACAAAGAAGAAUAUGCAGUAUUACACUUGAGAGAUAGAAGAGAGGUGAGUCGAGAGAGAAGAGAAGAUAGAGAGAGAAGUUAAAACUUUCAUAUAUUGUAUAUUUCUGAAUGAAUACAAUCUUAUCUCAUCUAAGACUAUAUAUUCUCUUUAUAAAACUUGCUGUCUAAGUCACACUAUAACUAAUUCUAACAACCUUGCUAAUCUCUUGACAAGUGGCUUAUUAUAUCACCAUUAAUACUAUCCUUAACAUCCCCCCUCAAGCUCAGGAGGUGAAACCAAGACUGAGAUUGCGACAAUGAGUUUGAAAGAGUGGAGUAGAUAAACCCUUGGUGAAGAUGUCAGCAUACUGCUCACUGGAAGAUACAAACUGAACCUGCAGGUGCUUCUUUUGCAACUCGUUCUCGAACAAAAUGAAUAUCAACUUCAAUGUGUUUGGUACGCUGAUGUAACACUGGAUUUGAUGAUAAAGCAAUAGCAGACAUAUUAUCACAAAAGAGAACCGGUGAACUAGGAAUAGCAAGAUGCAAAACUGUCAAUAAUUGUUUGAUCCAAUCCAAUCCAAUUCAGCAGCAGCAGCUGUAGCAAGAGCGCGAUACUCAGCCUCAGUGGAGGAUCGAGACACUGUUUGUUGCUUCUUGGAAGACCAAGAAAUGGGAUUUGACCCCAAAAAGACCACAAAUCCAGUUGUAGACCGUCUGUCAUUCGGAUCUCCAGCCCAAUCCGCAUCAGAAAAGGCACGUAUAGUAUCAGAAUUAACCUCCAAACCACCUCUAACAUAAUGAAUACCCAAGUUCAAAGUGCCUUUAAGGUAUCUUAGGAUCCGCUUGACAGCACUGAAGUGAGACUCCAUGGGACGCUGCAUAAAUUGACAUACCUGAUGCACAGCAAACGCGAUAUCUGGCCUGGUAAAUGUGAGGUACUGUAAAGCACCAACCACACUUCUGUAGAGAGCAGGAUUGUUGUAGGGUGUACCAUCAUCAAGAACUAACCGAUUAUAAGGCAGACAUGGUGUGGAACAAGGCUUGGAAUCUAACAUUGCAGUCUUGGUAAGGAGAUCCUUAACAUACUUAGCUUGAGAAAGAACCAAACCAUCAGGCUGAGAAAUAAUCUGAAUUCCCAGGAAAAAAUGCAAAGGACCCAAGUCUUUUAUGUCAAAUUCCUUUGUCAAAGCAGAAAUCACAUCAGAGAUCAAAGUGGGAGCAUUACCAGUAAUGAUAAUGUCAUCCACAUAGAGAAGUAAGACUACGACAGACGAAUCAAUUUGUUUCACAAACAAAGAGGAAUCAGCAUAAGUGGAAGUAAAUCCAAGUGAUGGCAAAAAAACUGGUGAACUUGUCAUUCCAGGCUCUAGGAGCCUGUUUUAAGCCAUAUAAGGACUUGUGAAGUUUGCAGACAUAAUCAGAGUAUUGAGGAUCAAUGAAACCUGGAGGUUGUGACAUAUACACCUCUUCCUGCAAUACCCCAUGGAGAAACGCAUUCUUAACAUCAAGUUGUCUCAAAUUCCACCCAAAAUGAGCAGCCAUGGCCAAUACAAGUCUCACAGUGGUAGGUUUAACAACUGGACUAAAUGUUUCCCCAUAAUCAAUGCCUUCCUCUUGAUUGAAACCCUUUGCCACAAGGCGAGCCUUAUAUCUCCCUAUAGAACCAUCAGCAUUCCUUUUUAUCUUAAACACCCAUUUGCACCCAACCAGGUUUUUCUGUGCUAGAAGAGGAACUAAACUCCAUGUAGACUGAGUGUGUAAGGCAGAUAACUCUUCUUGCAUUGCAUCAACCCAUAUCGGACACUUUAAGGCAGAUUUAUAGGUUGCAGGUUCGACUGUAGACAAAUCCACUGCCCCAUUGUCAUAAGUGGCAGUAAGGAAGGCCAUCUUUUUGGAAAUACCACUCUUGGACCUGGUUUGCAUUGGAUGCAAAUUCAACGGAGGAAUGGAGAGAACAACCUGAAGUCUCUCAGGUUGAAACUCAAAACUGUCAGGAUUCGGAAGUGGAACCACAGGAUUCUCAGGAUGGACCUCAGAUGCCACAGGGAUUGGUGGAGAUGAAUACUGUUCAUUUGCAGAUCCAUUAGAUACUGGAGAUAAGGAUGAUGAAGAAGUGGGGGAAUGGGAAUUCUGAGGAACCGGAGAGACUGGUGAAACUAACACAUUAUCAAGGUUAGGCAUGGAUGGUUGCGGGGAAGAUGGUUGAUGGUGAGGUAGGAUGGGUUGAGAGGUUACAUGGGAUGGAUGAAGACUAGGAGAAUGUGAUGAAACAAGACCAGGAUAAGGAAAUUCAGAUUCAUCAAAUAACACAUGCCUAGAAACAAAAACUUUCUUUUUGAUGACUUCAUAACACAAAUAACCCUUGUACUUUGAUGCAUAUCCCAGAAAAAUACACUUGGAUGUCCUAGGUUGUAACUUUGUGGUGUUAAAGGGUCUUAAAAGAGGGUAACAAGAACAACCAAAAACUCUAAGGUGACUGACAUCAGGAACCGAACCAUAAAGAAUUUCAAAUGGGGACUGCAGAUUAAGUGUUUGUGAGGGCAUUCGAUUAAUAAGAUACACUGAAGUCUGACAAGCAAAUGACCAAAAUGGUGCAGGUAGGUGAGAGGUUUGAAGAAGAGUAAUGGUAGUUUCAAUAAUAUGGCGAUGUUUCCUUUCAACCAAACCGUUUUGUUCCGGUGUAUAAGGACAAGACAACUGAUGACGGAUACCUUUAGAAGUAAGAAAGGUUUGGAAUUGUUUCCCUAUAUAUUCACCCCCGCCAUCACUUUGAAGUGUUUUGAUUGAAACUGAAAAUUGAUUAAGUAUAAACUGAUAGAAAGUCAUAAAUGUGGCACAAACAUCAGUUUUAUUGAUAAUCGGAAAAAUCCAACAGAAUCGGGUACACUGGUCUAUGAAGGUAACAUAGUACUUAAACCCUUCUAGAGACAGACACGGAGCAGGGCCCCAUACAUCGCUGUGAACAACAUCAAAAGGAUUAACAAUCGUAUGUGGAGCAGAAUGAAAGGGUAGCUUGCUAAUCUUGCCCUCUAUACAAUUGGAACACAACCUAGGUAUAGAAUCAGCAAUACUAGGAAGAUUGGAUUUCUUAAGCAUGAGGGAAGCAACUUUGUUUGAUGGAUGACCUAAUCGAUGAUGCCAUAAGCUAGAGGUUACUUGUUUGCCAAUGUACGCAGCCACUGGAGGAGCUUUUUGUAUAGGAGAUGAGGAUGGUGUGAAAGGAAUGGGAUACAAGCCAUUACUGCAGAGACCUUUGAACAGUAUUCUCCCUGUGGCUUUGUCCUGAAUCCAAAAACACCAAGCAUCAAAGAUCAGCCAACAAUUAUUGUCAAGACAGAUUCUAUGUACAGAGAGUAAAUUCUGAGAUAUUCUAGGUACAUAUAGGACCGAAUUUAACUUCAAAUCAUGAAAUGGAGUCUGCAAUAUAGAAGAUCCUCUGUGGGAUACAUUCAAACCUUCACCACUUGCAGUUUGAAUCAUCUCUGUUGAAGGAAAAGGAGUUGCCAAUGACAAAUUAUUCAGAUCUGCAGUCAUAUGAUUUGUUGCACCCGAAUCUGUAAGCCAUACUUGCUGAGAAAGAUUGGAUUCCAGGGGUGGAGCAGAAGCAUUGACAUGCAUAGCAUUCAUAGAUCCAGCAGUAGAUGGUAAAUUUGCAUUCCUAAAGUGACAGAACUUUGCACUAUGAUUCCUUUUUCCACAGAUUUGACACCCAUCACCAACUGCAGAAUCAAGAUUCCGAAAUCGACAAGUAUCAGCAAGAUGUCCAUAUUUGCCACAGAUUUGACAGGAAGUGCCAGAAGAAGACAACUGCUGUUGUGGAGAAGUUCCAAGAAUCCCACGACCUUGAGGCGGGUAAAAUGGCUUAUUAGUCCCAAAUUUAGAACCAUAUUGAAACUUUCCUUUGCCUUUGUUCUUGUUGUAAGAAGGACGAUAUGAAGAAGCAGCAGGUUGAUUAUUGUAAAGAUGCGAUUUGAUCAAAUGUUCCCUUAAAGUGUGGCUGAGACCCACCAGUAUCCGCAACCAUUGCAGUAAGAAAAGGAGUUGCAGACACAUUUUCAAGCAUUGCUUCUUCAGCAAGCAACUGAGAACGCAGAUCUUUAAUUGAAAUAACAUGAUCCCUGCCUCUAAUGAUUGAUCUAAUCGUGUUAUACUCAGAUGAUAAGCCAUUAAGGGUAAGUAUAACUAUAUCAUCAUCAUCAAAUGGAACCCCAGCUGCAGAAAGAUAAUCCCGAGCCUCCUUAAUGCGUUGUAAAUACAAGGAAAUAGAAUCAUUACCCUUUUUUGAUAUUCUGCAACGCUGACUUCAUUUGGAAGAUACUAGCUCGUGUAACAAUUGAAAAUUGUUCCUUAAGUCUUGUCCAGAGAUCCUGAGCACUAGUACUUCCUAUCACGCAAGAAACGGCAGACGGAGAAAGAGUUGCAGUAAUCAACUGCAUUAAGGCACGAUCAUGCAUCUUCCAAAAUCUUGUAAUCAUCAGAUUCUGUUUUGAGAAGUAGUUCCUUGAGAAUCAACCUCAGACCCACUAGAAGUAGACCUUGUAAAUCAAAAUAGGACAGGGGUAGAACCAUCCACAAAACCCAAAAUACCAUGCCCUUCGAGAAGAAGCUGCAUCUGAAAAUGCCAAACCAGAUAGUUUGAUUCAUCAAGCUUCACUGUCACAGAUGUUGAAACAGUGGAGAUGAGAGAAGUAAUGGGAGACUGAAGAAUCUGUAAUUGAGAAGGAGUAAUCAUUGACGCAAGAAUUCAGAAAACUUGGUCAAGAACGAUGAUUGAGAACUUGUAUCGAACACUUGGUGUGCACAGAAGACAAACGCCAAGAAGAGUAAUAUACAGAAGAAGAUGAGCUCCAGAAAGAUUUAGACAGAGCACACAAAUAUCAGAAACAUUACAGAAAUCAGAACUGAUGAGCGGAAGCAGUCCAAGAUCGAAGAUUUUCACCCGAGCGAUUAGCUAAUCCGGCGAAGAUACCAUGUAAACCAAGCUAUAACCACAAAGAAGAAUAUGCAGUAUUACACUUGAGAGAUAGAAGAGAGGUGAGUCGAGAGAGAAGAGAAGAUAGAGAGAGAAGUUAAAACUUUCAUAUAUUGUAUAUUUCUGAAUGAAUACAAUCUUAUCUCAUCUAAGACUAUAUAUUCUCUUUAUAAAACUUGCUGUCUAAGUCACACUAUAACUAAUUCUAACAACCUUGCUAAUCUCUUGACAAGUGGCUUAUUAUAUCACCAUUAAUACUAUCCUUAACACAAAGUUGGGGUUUCUCUUUUAAGAACGAAUAUUGUAUCAUCAUAGUUCAUGGAUUUAUGAUUGUGAGACAUUCGAUCAAUGUUGUUUUGUUGAUUGUUAUUUUGACAUGUGUGGUACUUUUUUCUUUUACCCAAAUUUUGUCCAUGUGGUUUUCCUUGAGUAAAGCUUUGACGAGACUACUCUUUUACAAGUUACUUGAUAUAAAAUGUAUCUUUUUUGGUAAUGAAAUUUCCAUUUACCCUAAGAAAAGUUGAGAGCUAAUGAAUUUUUUGAAGGGAAACGAUUUCCCACUAUAAUCCUCUCCUCUUACGCACCUCUCUUUAUUUCUAGGUCUUAAUUGAAUCAACGUUCUCAAAGUGUUUUCUUUUUCAAUUCAAAUUUCCAAAAAUUUAAACAUUUCCAAACUAAAAAGUAGAAAAACACCAAAAAAAAAAAACUUUUAUGCAGAAAAUAUAAUUGUCAAGAGAGAUUUUUCAGUAAGCCAGAAAUACAGUCUAGCACACAAAAUGUAAUAAUGCAAUUAAUUGGAAGCUGGAAAAAAAAAUUCAACCAAUUAUAUAUUGACACUUAAUAUAUUAAGUUUUAUUCUCAGUACAUUGAAAAAUUUCCCAGUUAUGGCAACCAUUUUAACUUGUACUCUCCACGCAUUACUAAAUAAACUAAAAUUACAACAAUGGAGCUUUCAAAUCAAAUGUUCAAGAAACCAAGAUCUUCAUUGGGUCCCAAGUGUUCUACACAAAUAAUUCCAAACAUUUUUCCGGAAAAGAAAAAGGUAAUAAUUAAUAUAAUAUAAUUGGGGAAAAGUAGGAGAAUUUUUUUUUAUUGUGAUAGGAACAUGAGUGGUACACAAUAUGUUUUUAUGUAAAUGGUGAGAAAUUUUAUUUUUUAAGUUAUUAACUUUUUAACACAUAUAUCCUACUAUUUAUAUAGUGACGCAUAAUGUACUACCUCGUGUAUCGGUCGCAUUGAAAAAUCUCUCGGAAAGUAGAAGUGAAAACAAAAAGAGUACCCAAUUAACUGAUCAGCCCAAUAAUUUUAAAACACCUGGCAUUUCAACUCUCUUUCAAUAUUUGGCUAUCUUAACCAAACACAUUUUGUCCCCGAAACCACACACCUCUUGUCGCCGAAACCAAGCACCUCUCUUCUUCUCCAUACUCUUUCCUUGCCCAGACCCAAUUCCUCUCUUUCUCCGGCGACCAUGGCAGAUCCACCAAAGGUUCUCUGUCUGCCCAACCACCCAUGUCUCUUAUCCCUUGUCAUCAAAAUCUGUUACAGGUUCACCAAUUUUUUUAGUCCCUCAAUAAUUUAUUAUUUUUAAGUUUAUUCUUUAACUUUAUUGAUUAAUUGAAUUGAACUACCAUAUUUAGAAAUGAGUAUCUCUUCAUAUUUCUUAUCUUUAUGUAAUUUUAAUAAUUUUUGGAAAUGCUAUGUUUGUUUUGCUUCAAAAAAAAAAAAUUUCGGAUAGGAGUUUAAAGAAUGUGAAGAAUUGAAUUAAAAUGAGGUAAAAUAGUACGGAAUGGUGAAAAUGAUGUGAGAAAUUGUGUAAAACUGACUUAGAUAUUUAUAAAAAAAAUAGAAUUUUUAGUUUUUUUUUUUAAUUUCUUAAAAAAAAUAAAAUUCAAAUCUAACGACUAGCUGAGUUAGCUAACAUGUGGGUUAUUGACAGCUAGGCUCAGCUUUUCGGGCUGACGGCUAAGGAUGCCUAGCCCGUUGGCCAUAUGGCUGGAUUUUGGCUUGGAGGGUUCCAAAUUUUUUCGGCCCAGCCCUCCAUUGGAGAUGAGUUUUGUGUAAAAAAAACAUAUUUUGGCCUAUAGCGCUUUGGCCGGCCCGGUUGAAAAUGACCUAAACAAAUGAUUAUCAAACUAUUCGAGAAUUUCAAGAAAAGCAUCUCCAAGAGUCUCUUCAAAUUUUUGUUACAUUACCUUAUUGAAUAAGUGUUAAAAAAAAAUAUUUCCGCUACCUAGUUAAACUUAACAUCUUUAAAAAUUCUCGUUAUUUUAACAAACUUUUAACAUUUUAUUGUUUAUCAAAUUCUAAAAAAAUAUAUAAAUUCAAAGAGAACGUGUGUAGAUAGCUAAAGAGUUUCAAGGUUCGUUCGCAAGUGUUUUUGAAAUGACUGAAAACGUUUUAGAGAAAAUGUUUUUGGGUUUCCAAAAGUACUUAAAAUGUUUUUUAGAAGAAAUACAUAAUUGAUGUUUUCUGGAAGAAGCACAUAACUAGUGCUUCUUGCAAAAAGCAUAUCAAAUCCGUAAUUAAAUUAAAUCUAUAAUUAAGUUAAAUCUCUAAAAUACUUUAUAAUUUCCAACACUAAUUUCCUUCCUUUAUCUAGAUGGAGAAAAUUUUCAUUGUGACGGGAAUAUAAGUGGUACACGACAUGUUUUAAUAGAAGUUGUGGGAAAUUUUAUUUUUUAAGUUAUUAACUUUUUAGCACAUAUAUCCCACAAUUUGUAUAAUGACAUGUGGUGUACCACCCCGUUUACCGGUUACACUGAAAAAUCUCUCAUCUUGAUGGAUUAUAAACCCGAGCCCUAGCUUAGUGCAUUUUUUAGCAGCGGAUGUAUAACUGAUCUUGCUCCAAUUGUAACAAGUAGAGUAUUACUUCUAUGACAAGAAAAUCUUCUACAUAAUAUCGAAAGAACAAAAAUUACGUUAUAAUUUUAUGCAUGCUUUUUUAGAGCAGGUUCGGACUUGGGCCACCUGUAAACCCGUUAAUAAUCUUCAAUCGUGGGUGCAUUUGAAUUGAAGUGAAAUCUUUUUUAACCGCACUUACCCGUCUAUUUAGUGACCAUAUGUGUGAGUGAAUAUAAAAACGCAAGAUUUUCUUUUUUAUAUAUAUAUUAUGAUACUAAAAAAAAAAAUCGAACUUGAAACUAUUAGAAUAGAGGAAAUUGAACUCCAGACGUCAGAAACUUUGAAGCAACGAUAAACCAAACUUAAGCAGGAAGAGUGAACUUUUCCCACACUUUCGUACGGCACGAGGGUAAUAACUAAUAAGACACUCUGUAUUUUUUCUUAUUCUCUUAUGGAAAAUUUUAUUUAAACACAUUUAUCCUUAUUAUUUUUUAUUUUGAAAUUCCAAAUGUGCCCAAUAAUUCUCUUUCUACACCCAACAAACACAAAUAUAUAUAUAUAUAUAUAUAUAUAUAUAUAUAUAUAUAUAAAUUAGCAAUAGUCAACUUCAACCAUCCUAUCUCUUCAAACCUCAACCACCCAGUUUCUAACAUCCUCAACUCCCCACUGCAAACUCCCUUACCACCCACAACAAUUUGAAAAUUAGAACAUUAUUCCCAACAACCCACAAUUAAAAAACCCAAAAGAAACAUGUAAAUAUAUAUAUAUAUAUAUAUAUUGGAAAAAUUAAUGGUAUUAUUAACAUAUGGUCCAACACAAUUAGAUUCGACACGUCGACAAUUUCGGCAUAAUUUAGACAUGUUAGAAGGACUGCAUGGAAGAGAGACCUAUUGUGUGGUUGGUGAAAGGUCGGGAAAUGGACAUUGAUGGCUGAGAUCUUUGGUAAUAGGAAAAUUAUAUUUCCAUUUCAUAUCAAAAUAAAAUUACACUUUGAGUAUAUAUACAAUUAUAUUGUAACCACUAAGAUAUCUAAACUAUAACUAACUAAUAGAUAUCUUAACCACUAAGUAAUAUCUCUAGAUAGUGUAGUUACAAUAUUACCCUUUAUAUUUGGGGUUUCAUUGUGGGUGAUAAGAAGAUGGCAGUGGGGGGAUCAAGCUUUGAACAACAAUAUCAAUCAGUUUAAUCUUUUGUGAUUCAAGCUUGAACAUGUAUUACUACUAAGGGUUGCGACUGUAAUAAUUGGUAUCAAUUUUAUUUAUUUGUUUUUCAAACGAAAUGCAGAAGGCGUAACACUUCAACGCUUCGGGGUGUUUUACAGGUUCAUUCUUUACUGAUAGGAAGAAAAUCUUUGAUGGUUGAGAUCAGCAAAGGUAUGUCUUCUUUUUCAUUAUGGGUGUAGAAAGAAAAUUGUUGGGCAGAUUCGGAAUUUCAAGAUUAAAAAACUAUAAGUUGGGUGUAGAAAGAUGAUAAAUGGGUCUGAAUAAAAUUUCCUUUCUCGCCCCAAAGUAGUUUGUGAUAGUGAUACCUGAAAAAUAUUUGCCAAUUGGGGCCUAAACAAGAGAUUAUUUUACUUUUCCCUCGUCUUCUUCCUCAUUCUUCUUCUUAUUCAAAUCACAACCCACCCACUCUCACUCUCAGAUACUCAAAUAAUCCACCACGGUCACAUUCCAUCGAGUUCCCAAAAUAACCUUUUCGAUUUUGGUCCCCACAAGUCACAAUAUCUCAGUUUCCCAGCAUCUCCAUUGCAAUAUAUGAUGAAGCUUUCAGCCAAAGACGAGACUGAGAGAGCUCACAUGGUGAACGACAUGUCGUUUCUUACAACUUCCUUGUCAAGUUCUUCGUGGUUAAGGACGUGUUUUUAAAAGUUUUCGUGCCUUUGGCGAAGAUCAAGUGUAAUGUCUUUUCGUCACUAGCCUAAUUUUAGGUGUGUUGGCGAACUUGGUUACCCUACGAGACCAUUGGAACUUUACGUAGGAUGAAUGUCUGUCGAUUCUUAAUCCGGUUUAUGAGUUGUUCAAAGAUUAAUCACAAGUUGAAAACAUUAAUACAAAGGUAACGGAGUACAUUGCUUGAGAAACAAUGAGUGAUUGGUAAAAAGCCCACAGGCUACGUACAUUAUUCAUGGCUACAACUGAAAAUUUGAUUAAUUGGAAUUCACAGCCCAACAUUUCUUCCUGAUCUGGCCGGAAGUGCCUGUAAGGACCUCAACGGCUCCCAUCCUUUUCAUUGACUGUGCAAACUCCGUGAAGAACUUGUUAAGGUCCUCCAAUUCUGCGACGAUAUUGCUGGCACCCUUGUUUGUUAAAAGGGCUGCAUCAGAUUGGAAGAGACCCUUGUGCUGCUUGACGACGGUGUAGUAGCUGCUGUCAAAGUUUCGAGCGCUACCGGGAUCCAUUUCCACGAAUGUUGUAUUGUCUUUGAGGCUUCGGCAUUUGGUCUUCAGCAAUUCAGCGUAGGUUGCAUCCAAAGAAGGGUCUUGAUCACCCUUUCCGGUGAAGUUGUAGAGCCUGUUGCUGAAGCUUGGGCAGCCGCCUACUCCAAUUGUG